UUACCAAGUAUUAUAUAAAUAUGUAUAUAUCAAUAAAUUUGAUUUUAGUUUUUUCUUAGCUGUAUAAAUAAUAUAAUUAUACUUAGAUUUCUUAAUAAAUGGAAUUAAUUUUUUUUUAUUUAAUUUGUAGUAUUUUGUUUUAAAUAAUUUAUUGAAGUAAGAUUUAGUAAUUUAUAAUUAGGUUGGUUAAAACUGUGCCAGCUACCGCGGUUAGACAGUAGACUUAAGUUAAGUUGAUAGACUUUUGAAAUUUAAGGAGUUUUGAUAAAUUUAUUAUAUUGAAUUAAAAAGGUGAAAUUUUGAUAAUUUAAGAUGAUGAAUUUGUAUUAAUUUUUUGUAGCUUUAUAUUAUAAACCAGGAUUAGAUACCCUGUUAUUUUAAAGUGUAAAAUGAAGUUAGGGUAGUAGUUGUUGUUCAUGAAACCUAAAAAAUUUGGCGGUGCUUUAAGCUGUUUAGAGGAAUCUGCUCUGUAAUCGAUGGUCCUCGUUUAAUUUAACUUUGUUUUGUAAUAUCAGUUUGUAUAUCGCCGUCUUGGAUAACCUUUUUAGAGAGAGAGUUAUCAUUAAAAAUUAAUUUUUAAUGUCAGGUCAAGGUGCAGCUUAUAAUAAAGGUUGAAGUGGAUUACAAUUAAUUUAUUAAUAUGGAUAUUAUUUUGAAAUAAAUAAUUAAAAGUGGAUUUGAAAGUAAAUUUUAAUUAAAUAUGUAAAGUUGAAUAUAGCUCUGAGGCAUGUACACAUCGCCCGUCGCUCUCGUUUAUUAGGUGAGAUAAGUCGUAACAUAGUAGAUGUAUUGGAAAAUGUAUCUAGUAAGG
rnacentral:rRNA from 1 species